AAAAAAACUCAUCCGUUUUCUCUCUCGUCAUCAGUUUUAGGGUUUGAUAUUUAUCAUCGACCGACUAUGUCUACUCCGACGAAGAUCUUGUUGAAGAGUUCUGAUGGUGAGGUUUUCGAGGUGGAUGAGGCGGUUGCUUUGGAAUCGCAGACCAUCAAGCACUUGAUUGAGGACGAUUGCGCCGGCUCUAACAUCCCUCUCCCUAAUGUUACAAGCAAGAUCUUGGCAAAGGUGAUUGAGUACUCUAAGCGCCAUGUCGAAGCCUCGUCUAAGACAGAGGACAAGGCCGCUGAGGAUGAAUUGAAGGUCUUUGAUGCUGAAUUUGUUAAAGUUGAUCAGGGAACUCUUUUUGAUCUGAUUCUGGCGGCUAACUACCUGAAUAUCAAGAGUCUGCUUGAUCUGACCUGUCAGACUGUGGCAGACAUGAUCAAAGGAAAGACUUCGGAGGAGAUUCGAAAGACUUUUAACAUCAAGAACGACUUCACUCCGGAGGAAGAGGAGGAGGUCAGGAGGGAGAAUGCUUGGGCAUUU
rnacentral:misc_RNA from 1 species